UGCGUAGGCGGAUUAAUAAGUCAGUGGUGAAAUCUUUCGGCUCAACCGGGAAACUGCCAUUGAAACUGUUAAUCUUGAGUUAGGUUGAGGUAGGCGGAAUGUGUAAUGUAGCGGUGAAAUGCUUAGAUAUUACACAGAACACCAAUUGCGUAGGCAGCUUACUGGACCUACACUGACGCUGAGGCACGAAAGCGUGGGGAGCGAACAGGAUUAGAUACCCUGGUAGUC
rnacentral:rRNA from 1 species